rnacentral:rRNA from 1 species
UGAGUAACGCGUGGGUAAUCUACCUCGUAGUUCGGGAUAACAGGCCGAAAGGCUUGCUAAUACCGGAUGAGUUCAUGCUUAUGCAUAUAGGCAUGAAGAAAGGGCUAGCCCGCUAUGAGAUGAGCCCGCGUCCCAUUAGCUUGUUGGUGGGGUAAUGGCCUACCAAGGCAACGAUGGGUAGCCGGCCUGAGAGGGUGUACGGCCACACUGGGACUGAGACACGGCCCAGACUCCUACGGGGGGCAGCAGUAGGGAAUUUUCGGCAAUGGGCGAAAGCCUGACCGAGCAACGCCGCGUGAGGGACGAAGGCCUUCGGGUUGUAAACCUCUGUCUGGGGGGAUGAGAACGGACGGUACCCCCGGAGGAAGCCCCGGCUAACUACGUGCCAGCAGCCGCGGUAAUACGUAGGGGGCUAGCGUUGUCCGGAAUUACUGGGCGUAAAGGGCGUGUAGGCGGUCGUGCAAGUCGGUUGUGAA